GUUUGGUUAAGUUAGAAAGGGCGCACGGUGGAUGCCUUGACACUAGGAGUCGAUGAAGGACGGGACUAACGCCGAUAUGCUUCGGGGAGCUGUAAGUAAGCUUUGAUCCGAAGAUUUCCGAAUGGGGAAACCCACCAUACGUAAUGGUAUGGUAUCCUUACCUCAAUACAUAGGGUAAGGAAGACAGACCCAGGGAACUGAAACAUCUAAGUACCUGGAGGAAGAGAAAGCAAAUGCGAUUUCCUGAGUAGCGGCGAGCGAAACGGAACAUAGCCCAAACCAAGAGGCUUGCCUCUUGGGGUUGUAGGACAUUCUAUACGGAGUUACAAAGGAACGAGGUAGACGAAGCGACCUGGAAAGGUCCGUCGUAGAGGGUAACAACCCCGUAGUCGAAACUUCGUUCUCUCUUGAAUGUAUCCUGAGUACGGCGGAACACGUGAAAUUCCGUCGGAAUCUGGGAGGACCAUCUCCCAAGGCUAAAUACUCCCUAGUGAUCGAUAGUGAACCAGUACCGUGAGGGAAAGGUGAAAAGCACCCCGGAAGGGGAGUGAAAGAGAUCCUGAAACCGUGUGCCUACAAAUAGUCAGAGCCCGUUAAUGGGUGAUGGCGUGCCUUUUGUAGAAUGAACCGGCGAGUUACGAUCCCGUGCGAGGUUAAGCUGAAGAGGCGGAGCCGCAGCGAAAGCGAGUCUGAAUAGGGCGUUUAGUACGUGGUCGUAGACCCGAAACCAGGUGAUCUACCCAUGUCCAGGGUGAAGUUCAGGUAACACUGAAUGGAGGCCCGAACCCACGCACGUUGAAAAGUGCGGGGAUGAGGUGUGGGUAGCGGAGAAAUUCCAAUCGAACCUGGAGAUAGCUGGUUCUCCCCGAAAUAGCUUUAGGGCUAGCCUUAAGUGUAAGAGUCUUGGAGGUAGAGCACUGAUUGAACUAGGGGUCCUCAUCGGAUUACCGAAUUCAGUCAAACUCCGAAUGCCAAUGACUUAUCCUUAGGAGUCAGACUGCGAGUGAUAAGAUCCGUAGUCAAGAGGGAAACAGCCCAGAUCGCCAGCUAAGGUCCCAAAGUGUGUAUUAAGUGGAAAAGGAUGUGGAGUUGCUUAGACAACUAGGAUGUUGGCUUAGAAGCAGCCACCAUUUAAAGAGUGCGUAAUAGCUCACUAGUCGAGUGACUCUGCGCCGAAAAUGUACCGGGGCUAAAUACACCACCGAAGCUGCGAAUUGAUACCAAUGGUAUCAGUGGUAGGGGAGCGUUCUAAGUGCAGUGAAGUCAGACCGGAAGGACUGGUGGAGCGCUUAGAAGUGAGAAUGCCGGUAUGAGUAGCGAAAGACGGGUGAGAAUCCCGUCCACCGAAUGCCUAAGGUUUCCUGAGGAAGGCUCGUCCGC
rnacentral:rRNA from 1 species